UCCCUGGUGGUCCAGUGGCUAGGAUUCUGCGCUCCCAAUGCAGGGGGCCCUGGUUCAAUCCCAGUCAGGGAA
rnacentral:tRNA from 1 species